UACGAAGGGUCCAAGCGUUAUCCGGAUUUAUUGGGUUUAAAGGGUGCGUAGGCGGCUUAUUAAGUCAGUGGUGAAAGCCCGUAGCUCAACUACGGAACUGCCAUUGAUACUGAUGAGCUUGAAUAUACUUGAGGUUGGCGGAAUGUGUCAUGUAGCGGUGAAAUGCUUAGAUAUGACACAGAACACCAGUGGCGAAGGCGGCUCACUGGUCCGGUACUGACGCUGAGGUGCGAAAGCGUGGGGAGCAAACAGG
rnacentral:rRNA from 1 species